rnacentral:rRNA from 1 species
GACGAACGCUGGCGGCGUGCCUAAUACAUGCAAGUCGAACGCUUCUUCUCCACCGGAGCUUGCUCCACCGGGAAAAGAGGAGUGGCGAACGGGUGAGUAACACGUGGGUAACCUGCCCAGCAGAAGGGGAUAACACUUGGAAACAGGUGCUAAUACCGUAUAACAAUCGAAACCGCAUGGUUUCGUUUUGAAAGGCGCUUUACGGUGCCGCUGAUGGAUGGACCCGCGGUGCAUUAGCUAGUUGGUGAGGUAACGGCUCACUAAGGCCACGAUGCAUAGCCGACCUGAGAGGGUGAUCGGCCACAUUGGGACUGAGACACGGCCCAAACUCCUACGGGAGGCAGCAGUAGGGAAUCUUCGGCAAUGGACGAAAGUCUGACCGAGCAACGCCGCGUGAGUGAAGAAGGUUUUCGGAUCGUAAAACUCUGUUGUUAGAGAAGAACAAGGGUGAGAGUAACUGUUCACCCCUUGACGGUAUCUAACCAGAAAGCCACGGCUAACUACGUGCCAGCAGCCGCGGUAA